rnacentral:rRNA from 1 species
AACGAACGCUGGCGGCAUGCCUAACACAUGCAAGUCGAACGAGACCUUCGGGUCUAGUGGCGCACGGGUGCGUAACGCGUGGGAAUCUGCCCUUGGGUUCGGAAUAACAGCGAGAAAUUGCUGCUAAUACCGGAUGAUGACGUAAGUCCAAAGAUUUAUCGCCCAAGGAUGAGCCCGCGUAGGAUUAGCUAGUUGGUGAGGUAAAGGCUCACCAAGGCGACGAUCCGUAGCUGGUCUGAGAGGAUGAUCAGCCACACUGGGACUGAGACACGGCCCAGACUCCUACGGGAGGCAGCAGUGGGGAAUAUUGGACAAUGGGCGAAAGCCUGAUCCAGCAAUGCCGCGUGAGUGAUGAAGGCCUUAGGGUUGUUAAAGCUCUUUUACCCGGGAUGAUAAUGACAGUACC